rnacentral:rRNA from 1 species
UACGUAGGCAGCAAGCGUUGUUCGGAGUUACUGGGCGUAAAGGGUGCGUAGGCGGUCCUAUAAGUAUGGUGUGAAAUCUCCCGGCUUAACUGGGGAGGGUGCGCUAUAGACUGUGGGACUAGAGUGUGGGGAGAGGAAAGUGGGAAUUCCUGGUGUAGCGGUGAAAUGCGUAGAUAUCAGGAGGAACACCGGUGGUGUAAACGGCUUUCUGGACCAUAACUGACGCUGAGGCACGAAAAGCGUGGGUAGCAAACAGG